UUAGGAUUAAAAGAGAGAGAGAGAAAAUAGACUGAAUUUCUUCCAAGUAUAAUCCAAACUGAAAUGAAAAACUAUCCAAAAAAAGCCCCGGAGGUCGUUUCCUGCCUUACCUAAUGUGAAAGCCAAUGAGUACACACAGCUACUCGAAAUGCAGAACCAAACAGGAAGUUCAUGAUAUGUAUUCUACUUUGUUCUGAACAAUUUUCUUUUUCGCUCUAAGAAGAUAGAUACAAGUCUAGCAUAGAUUACUUUCCUAGUUCAGUAUCCAUAGAUAGUGGAUAGUUAUGCUACAUUCCAGCCAAACGAAAAAAAUGAGAAACGUUACAUUCUGCCUGGGUCGUCCUUGACAACUUCAGCCUGCCGCGUCUUCCCUGCAUAGUACUAGCUGUACGAUAUUAAAUGUGGGCCUUCUCCCAGGAGAUCUUCAGCUCCACAAUAUGCAUGGCUUUAAUAAUACUGGUUCAUAAAUGGCACUGACAUUUCAUAACAAAGUUUUUCCCAGAAUGGUAAAAAGAUAACGACUCUACAGUUAGUUUCUCACAAAGCUAAAUUAAUUCAAAAUAAAAGGUCUUUUAUUCUCAGAUUCUUUCCUACCUUUCUGGCAUUAAAAUGUCCUUCAGAUCUUAGUUUUAAAAAAUGUCUAUACCUGGCAACCUUAUGUUGGUUCUUGGGAUUUUAUGUUAAAAACCUGAAACUUAUCUCACAUGCCUCCUAGGUCCUCAUUCUCUCUGGCCUUGUGCUCAAAAAGGCUCUUUGCUUCUAGGUUAAUCAGUAAAUCCUCUUAUAGGAACAGUCCCUACUGAAGGUGAGGUCAGUGACUAAAAGGCUAAAGACCUCCAGAUGGAAUUCGCCCUGGAAUCUGGAGCAAGGUCAGGAGGCCAGAAAACAUACGUGUGAAAACACUGGAAACGCUCACUGUGAACUGUACACGAGAUUACGAUCUAAGGGAAGUACUGUUUAAAGGGAAGCAUCUAAAAUCCGAAAGAUGUUUUGGCUGUCUGCUUUCAUCUGAUUUACAGGGGUCUGACGAGUCUGCAUAAGAAGUGAAGCCAGGAAGAAGGGAUCAAGCCAUUCAUUAGAAGAGUGGACAAGCUCACAAGGAUCGCUCACAGGACUCGCCCAGAUCGAAGGAAGCAAUUAACGUAGCACAUGAAAAUUUCAGGAAGAAAUGGAUUCCAUUCUUUCUCCAACAGUGUUUCCUUCUGCCUUGACCUUUCCAGUCCAGCCUGCUCCCUAGGCCUUUGAAGGGCAUACAUGAGACACAAAUGUGAAGAGAGCCCUACUCUUCAGUUAAAUACAGCUUUUUGGAAGCCUUUAUUUCCCCUGACAUUCUGACUUUCUUUACUAUUUACAUAUACAUAUAUAUAUAGUAAAAAAUAAAGUUAGGGUUUAGACUCCAGAAGCAUGGGUAAUGAAGCCUUCAGCACAGCCAGGUGGUAACUCAGUUACUGAAGUGAUUUCAACUAUAUAAAGUAAAAGAUAAAUAUCUGCUAUGAUAGGAAGACAGAAUAAAAUCCUCUUCUGUUAAAAAGAUGUAUUCUGCUAAAAACCAAAUAUAUUAAGAGUGAAGAAAAAUGAGCAAAAGGGGCUAUCUUAAUUCACAGUAACGCAAGAUCUUAUGCUGUGUUAGGAGGUGUCAUCGGAAUAGGUGGGAAUGCCCAGUAAAUUAAAAGCUAUCAAAAGUUUACAAUAAGUGAAAGAACGGGCAGCAUAUAAUAAGGGCCAUAAUCCCUUAAAAUGCUAGAGGAACACAGAAGGCAUUUAGAAAUAUUAGGGAUUGCUUUUCUUUUCUCCUUCCUAUGGGCAAACCUUAUGUGACAUUAACAUGUAAAAUGUUUACAUGUUUACAGCUUGUCUAUCAGGCAAUAUUAAAUGAGUUUAAAACAUACCUGAGCAUUUAUAGUAAAGAUUAAACACUUGUUCAGGGGUUUCAAAGAGUGAUGCUGUCUUCCUAGGAAUUUGUGAAAGAAGCUAUUUUCUUUGUAGAAUCAUACUGGGAAGUCAACUACUUGAAGGAGCUGAUCCUUCCUAUUUUAUUUUGGGGAUGGGGGGAUGUUGCAGCCAUGGUGGUCCCAAAUAGUAAAGCUCUGUAACUAAGUAUGGAAAUACUAUAAUACACUUUAUAGUCAAGAGGCUACUGCACAUUUGCUUAUAACAACAACAAAAACAGCUCCGGUCAACAGGCUCACUUCCAAAGACAGUAGAAGCACUGGAACUCACCAAACUGACAGUUUGAUGAUUCCUAUGUCCCUUUUCAUAGCUUCUGAUUAAAUUUGGGGGGAAAAAGCUGUUUCAUUUGUCAAAAAAUAUGCUGUAUUUUCAUGGAGGAGGGGUUUCAAGAUUCACUGUGUGUAAUUUAGAGUUGUUUGUAAAAUACCAGGAUGUUUAUAUCUAACAUCUCAAAGUAAAAAAUUCUAAGCUUUUUUCAAAA